ACAGGUGCAAGGGGUGAGUUUAAUAAUACAAGAAACAUGGAACGAUGCAAAACAAGAGUAGCAUCUGGACAUGAUGCACAUAAACAAUACUGCCUGGGGAAUGGAAAUAAGGGAGUGACAGAUAUAGGGGAGGUAAUCCGUGAAAUUAUGGAGUCCAGGUGUGUCUCAUGAGGCGCAGGUCCGCGUAAUGAUGGUGACAGGUGUGCGUAUUGAUGGUUGUCAGAGCCAGUGAUUAGUAAACCAGCAAUGUUGAACGACGGAGACGGAGAGCGGCAGUAGACGAAACACGGAAGACCUGCUGGAACAGUGCCAAUACUGAUUACCUCCGGCCUGAGAAGGGAGACAUGAAAGGAAGGUGAGAUGCGGUAGUCACUGGGGAGCUGUAAUCUAUACAUCACCUCGUUGACCCUCCGGAGAACCUUGAAUGGCCCCACAAACUGGGGGCUCAGCUUCUUGCAGAGCAGGUGGAGUGGGAGGUUCCUGGUGGAGAGCCAGAUGCAAAUACCAGGAUGGAACACAGCAGCCUCCCGUCGGUGUCAAUCCGCCUGCCCCUUCUGAUGGUGGACGGUGCACUGGAGUCUCACGUGGGCAUUGCUCCACACUUCUUCUGCGCGCCUGAUCCACUCAUCCACCGCAGGAGCUUCGGUCUGACCCGGGGUCCACGGAGCCAGGGCCGGCUGAUAUCCCAGAACAUGCUGGAAGAGUGUCAGCCCGGUGGAGGAGUGAUGUAACGAAUUCUGGGCAUACUCCACCCAGGGAAGGAACCGGGCCCACUCCCCCUGCCGGUCCUGGCAGUGGCUUCUCAGGAACCUCCCCAGCUCCUGGUCCAACCUCUCCACCUGCCCAUUAGACUGAAGCCUAUAGCCGGAAAUGGGGGCCAUGGUCGGAGACGAUGUCCUUCGGAUAGGCCAUAAUGCCGGAAGACCUGCUGGAACAGUGCCUUAGUGACCUGGAGAGCAGUAUGGAGACCAGAGAGAGGGAUAAAACGACAGGAUUUGGAGAAUCUAUCCACAGCCACCAUCGGGGGGGGGGGGAAUCAGUGACAAAAUCAAUGGAUAGAUGAGACCAGGGACGCUGAUGCACGGGAAGGGGAAGGAGUUUCUCUGCUGGAGCGUGCCAGGGGGGAUUUAGUUUGGGCAGACACAGAACAGGAGUUGACGUAGUGAAUAACGUCCUGCGCCAAGGUGGGCCACCAAUACGUUUCGGAGAGAGAUUAAAUAGUACGGUUGAUCCCUGGAUGUCCAGUGACGACAUCUGCGUGCACCCAGGUCAGCAGCCGAUCCCUUAUCCCUGUGGGAACGUAGAUGCACUCAGGAGGACAGGUAGUGGGUGCGGGUUCCCUCUCCAGAGCCUGACGAAUGUCCACAUCUACGUCCCAGACCACAGGGGCUACGACUUGAGAGGGGACGGGAAAGCAGGUCCUCCGGCAUUCGGGUGACCAGUCCAUGAUUCUCAUCCUCGACCAUGAGAUGGUGGGGUUAUGGCAUUGGAGCCAUGGGAGGCCGAGGAUGAUGUUGUGAGCUGGUGAACUAAUGAUGAAGAAGGGAAUAUUUUCCUGAUGAAUGGACUCCACGAUGACGGUGUGUGAUGGUUCCGGAUCCUAGUGGCCGAUUAACAACGGCUUGAACCGAACACUGAGAGGAGAGCGUGUAUGAGAUUAUGUUCAGAGGGGGGCAAAGGUCUGGUCAAUAAAGUUCCCGGCUGCACCGGAAUCCACUAGCGCUGUAGAAACAGUACAUGAAGGUGUCUGCAAAAACACUACACUUUUGUAACUAUAGUAAAUACUGCAGUAUUUAAUUUGCAUAGUUUGUGCCACCCAUAAGUGAGAAACCUACAUGCCAAGUAUAGACCAUAUAUUGUGUUCACUAGAGGUUAUAGAAAAGAGCAGAAGCUCUGAACUGUCUGUUCAAACCCCAGUCAUACCUACCUACCUAAUUACUUACAGGUUAUGGAAAAUGUGUUCUAUUAGUAUUUUUCCAUUAGAUUUCCUGAAGGAGAAAACAUCCACUUCUACAUCAAAGAUAAUACAACAAAAACACUAUAGUAAAUACUACAGUAAUGUCCACAGUUCUCUUUUACUACAGUAUUUAUACUAGAGCUAACUGUAAAUACAACAGUAUUCUACAGUGAGUACUACAGUAAAGUCCACAAAAACACUACUGUGAAUACUGUAGAAUUUAUAUCAUAACAUACUAUAGUAUUUCUUCAUGUGGGUAUAUCUCACUCAUCUUCUUAUCCGGAAAGAGCAGAUUUGAUAUCUAUGUUUACGUCCCAAGUGGCACCCUAUUCUCUAUGUAGUGCACUACAUUUGACCGAGACCAUUAGGGCUCUGGUCAAAAGCAAUGCACUAUAUAAGGAAUAGGGUGCCACUUGGCACACAACCUAUGUCUAUGUAUUCUAUCUAUUCCUGUAAUUACCCCACCACUCUAAUCAUGACAUUAUGAUGCAACCUCUGGUGAAAUGGCCAAACAGAUGUCUCAUUCUUCAGGUGAAAUGGCCAAGCAGAUGUCUCAGUCUUCAGGUGAAAUGGCUAAACAGAUGUCGCAGUCUUCAGGUGAAAUGGCCAAACAAAUGUCUCAGUCUUCAGGUGAAAUGGCCAAAAAGAUGUCGCAGUCUUCAGGUGAAAUGGCCAAACAGAUGUCUCAGUCUUCAGCUUAAAUGGCAAAAAAGAUGUCUCAGUCUUCAGGUGAAAUGGCAAAAAAAUAUGUCUCAGUCUUCAGGUGAAAUGGUCAAACAGAUGUCUCAUUCUUCAGGUGAAAUUGCCAAAAAGUUGUCUCAGUCUUCAGGUGAAAUGGCCACACAGAUGUCUCAGUCUUCAAGUGAAAUGACAAAACAGAUAUCUCAGUCUUGAGGUGAAAUGGCCAAACAGAUGUCUCAGUCUUCAGUUGAAAUGGCCAAACAGAUGUCUCAUUCUUCAGUUGAAAUGGCCAAACAGAUGUCUCAUUCUUCAGGUGAAAUGACAAAACAGAUGUCUCAGUCUUGAGGUGAAAUGAUCAAACAGAUGUCUCAGUCUUCAGGUGAAAUGGCCAAACAGAUGUCUCAGUCUUCAGGUGAAAUGGCCAAAAAGAUGUCUCAGUCUUCAGGUGAAAUUGCCAAACAGAUGUCUCAGUCUUCGAUCAGAAACCUAUAUAACCAAAAUAGUACUACUGUAGUGCAUGGUCUUAUGAAGUAUUGGAGUUGCACUCCUGCUCUGGAAGAUAUGAAGUUGUGGCCAUGUUCGAGAGCAUCACUUCUGCUAUAGAAGAUAUGAAGUUAUGGCCAUGUUCGAGAGCGUCACUUCUGCUCUAGAAGAUAUGAAGUUAUGGCCAUGUUCGAGAGCAUCACUCCUGCUCUAGAAGAUAUGAAGUUAUGGCCAUGUUCGAGAGCAUCACUCCUGCUCUAGAAGAUAUGAAGUUAUGGCCAUGUUCGAGAGCAUCACUUCUGCUCUAGAAGAUAUGAAGUUAUGGCCAUGUUCGAGAGCAUCACUUC
rnacentral:lncRNA from 1 species